CCAAGCAAUUCUAAAAAAAAAAAUCAUUAACAUUAGUAAGCUCAAUAUAUUUAAUUACAUUAAUUUUAGAAGUAAUUUUUAUAAAAUAUGAAGAAUACCUCAAACCAACUCCAUUUAGGAUUUGGGUAGGCAUUAGGAAUGGGUUUUGGCACUUUCAAAAGUCUACAUUGUAGCCUUAACACUCCAUGUAGAAUGGAAUUGAAAUACCUACUUAUGGUCUCCCCUGAUCGACAAAACCUACUCCCAAUUGUACGAUUCUUGACAUGAUGUGCAAGUAUAUGCAAAAACAUGCAAACUUGUUCUUCCAUUGUCACUACACCAUCCAAUUUUACUCUAUCGUGGUCACGAAGCAUUUGACAUAAAUAAUGGAACGUUCUUCUAUCCAUUCUAAUUUGGUUCACACACUGAACAUCAUCAUAUCCUAUUAUGCUGUCUAAAUAGGCUGACCCUACCAUUCUCCUAACAAAUGUGCAAUUUCUAAGUGCAAGUUGCCAAUUCCGCCUUCUAGCUGAAUUAUGAUUCAUCAUGAACCACAUCAUCAACCAAGUCACAAUAUUCAAGUACCACAACUUAACAAUGAAGCAUGCACAAUCUUUCUUUCAUCCAUGUCUAGUGAAAAUAUAAAAUAACAUUAUUAGAUAGUGGCAAAAAAUUAAGUAACUGGAGCAUGAAGUCAUAAUAACACUGAAAACGGAAGGAAGCAUGUUAAUAAGUCCUACCAAAAAAUGUCAUAGGCAGAUAAUAAAUCCUACAGACUGUUGGGGUGAUCAGAAGGAAAAAUUACAAUGAAAUCAGAAAGAUGUCUUGACAUUCAUCAAUCAAGGAAGCAUGUUACGAAUCGAAUUCAAAAAAUCAAAACACCAAGUUCCGGAGAGAAAAGAAGUCUAGUCUAUGAUGACACUUUGUACGACCUCAAAGCAUUAUAUAUUCAUCACCUUAUGUUGCAUCAAAAUUGAGUGUCAUGUUGCAUCAAAAUUAAGCCGAAACAUUAGAAGAGCAGCAACUCUCCUUUUCUUCUCUAUUUCUCACUCACACUCUUUUUCUAAAAGGCAAUUACUUUACAAAGUGGAAUAAAUGCCAAUCAACAAUUCAACAACCCUAGUCCGAAAUUAUUCACACACACAUAUAUAUAUCCAGAUAAAAAGUAAAAUUCACAUAAAAAUUAAAAAAUGGAUAAAAGCUGAGAGGGAGUGAUGCAAAAAUUGAGAAGAACAGCAAUUUAUUGGGAUCUAAUUUUCGGGCCAUAGACGGUGAUGGGGAGUGAGAGAGAGAGAGAGAACAAGAGCGAAGAGAAAUUGGCUUACCCAGUUGUCCGUAUGGUUGCAUUGCAGCUGCGAGACAGCGAGUGAAAUGAGAGCUGCGCCAGAGACAAAGUUUUGUUUAGGUAAGUGAACAUGCACACUCCCACUCUACCCAAUCACUAAAGUUCUAAUUAAAGUUCAACAGCAACAACAAACCCUAAAUUCGACCCUAAUAGCAAACCCUAAAAUUCAAAAAUUCUAAUUAAAACACAAAAUUACAUAAUCAAUUGCAUAAUUAGAGAGAAAAUAAUAACUAGAUUCAAUCAAUUGCAAGAAAAAUAGGAGGGGGAAAAGGGAGGGGUGGAAUCCCAGAAGAAGAAAAGUAAAAGAUGAACUGUGAUUCAAACGAAGAAGAAGAAUUUGAGAAGACGAACCUGGGAUGAGAGCAAGAGUGCGUCUGGAGAGCAAGAGUGCGUCUGGAGAGGAAGAGAUAGCGUCUGGAGAGGAAGAGAGAGCGUCUGGAGAGGAAGAGAGAGCGCCUGGAGCGGAAAAGUGCGUUUGGAGAGGAAGCAGAAGAAGAGUGCGUCUGGAGAGGAAGGGGAAGAGUGCGUCUGGAGAGGAAGAGAGCCCGACUAAGUUAUACCAUGAAAUUGGAUGGUUUAAGCAAGCGGGUAAACACCAUGUAAAAAAGGUGGGCCCGGAUUAUUUAAUCUGGUGCCUAUUUAAUCCAAACAGCCACCAAACACCGUACACCGUAUUAUUAGUACUAUCCGGUGCCUUAUACAAUGUGCCAAACAGGGCCUUGGUGUCCAUCUUGCUACUGUACUUUGUGUUUUCUCUAUCCUGUAGUACUAUCAAUCUUAACAGUCUAGGUACAAUAACGAGUGAGCGUGUUAUUUUAUGAGCAUUGACUAUAAUUUAUAUGGAAACAACUCUUGGAUUUCCCUAUUAAAAUAGGAAACUAACACGCAAUUUCAAUCUAACUAUGUGUGUUAAGUAUCAUGAUUCAUUUAAAGUUUCAAUCCCAAACUAAUUAGGACAACAUUAAACUCUUUAUUAAGAUCUUUUCAUACCAAUUUGAAACACUAUAUUAGUCCAUAUAAUUGGAAAUCUAUCUAGUCAUUUAAGAAAAAGAAAAGGCCUAAUUGGAUAAAUGGUCCCCGUGGUCAUAAGGUAUUCGGAUGAUAGCCCCUGUGGUAAAAAAAUUCGGAUUUAAACUCCUGUGGUCUAAGUCUGUUAGGAUUUAAACCCCUGUGGUCUAAGUCUGUUAGGAUUUAUGCCAUUCUGUUAAAUAAUGCUAACGUGGCUGCCA
rnacentral:lncRNA from 1 species